GAUGAAGAACGUAGCGAAAUGCGAUAAGUAAUGUGAAUUGCAGAAUUCAGUGAAUCAUCGAAUCUUUGAACGCACAUUGCGCCCCUUGGUAUUCCGAGGGGCAUGCCUGUUCGAGCGUCAUUACACCACUCAAGCUAUGCUUGGUAUUGGGCGUCGUCCUUAGUUGGGCGCGCCUUAAAGACCUCGGCGAGGCCACUCCGGCUUUAGGCGUAGUAGAAUUUAUUCGAACGUCUGUCAAAGGAGAGGAACUGUGCCGACUGAAACCUUUAUUUUUCUAGGUUGACCUCGGAUCAGGUAGGGAUACCCGCUGAACUUAAGCAUAUCAAUAAGCGGAGGA
rnacentral:misc_RNA from 1 species